AUGGGAGAGGAGAGGAAGGCAGGGGAGCAGGCGGCGGAGGCGGCGGCCCGCGCGGCGGAGCAGGCGCGGGAGCUGCAGGACGCCGCCGCCGCGCUGCUCUCGCGGACGUGGGCGGAGGAGGAGGCGCUGCGCCGCCGCGCCGCCGCGCUCAGGGAGGACCUCGCCCGCCUGCGCAAGGCCGCCGCCAACGCACAAACCGAAAAGGUCCACGAGGACUUGGAUCGAGCGUCAUGCCUCAUAAGUGAUGGUGACAUUGCGGCGAUUCUCCCUAGCAAGGCGCAUGGCACUUUUUUGAAGCUGUUAUUGGGACCAGUGAAUCUCCGCGCAAGGAAGGAGGUACAGCUCAAGGUGAAAGAGGAAUACAAUAGCUACAGGGAUAGGACUGCCAUAGUGUUUCUUGGUUUUCCGAUGAUUCUGUUGUUUCUUCGGUCAUGGCUAUGGAAUGGAUGUUUUCCAGCAUUGCCAGUUCAGCUAUAUCAGGCCUGGCUGUUAUUGCUCUAUACAACUUUAGCUUUGCGAGAGAACAUAUUGCGAGUUAAUGGAAGUGAUAUCCGUCCUUGGUGGGUAUGCCAUCACUAUUGUGCCAUGCUGAUGGCUCUGGUGAGCCUCACAUGGGGGAUUAAGGGACAACCUGAUUGUGCCCGCAAACAGAGAGGUGUCGAGUUGUUUCUGUGCUGGGCUGUGAUGCAAGGUUUUGCCAUGAUGUUGCAGAACAGAUAUCAACGUCAAAGACUAUAUACUCGAAUUGCUUUGGGGAAGGCUAAAAGGAUGGACGUCGUGUGGGGCGAGACUGCUGGUGUUGAAGGCCAACUAUUGCUGUUGUGUCCCAUCCUCUUUUUCUUGCAGGUCUUUGAGGGUUAUGUUGGAUUUUUACUUCUUCGGACAGCUCAUAGAGGGAUCAUUCCUGAGUGGCAGGUUGUGGUGUGUGGGAUCCUGCUUAUUGCAAUGGCAAUUGGCAACUUUGCAAACACAGUGGACACAUUGAUGGUUAAGUCCAGAUUCAAAGCAAAGAUGAAGAAGUCCAAGAGCAAACGAGAUCUUGCUGCAUGCACGUCACCGACUCGCUCAUCGCUGACAAAUUCGGCAGCUGGAGCUUGA
rnacentral:rRNA from 1 species